CAGCUUCUAACCGUCCCUUUGGGGACAACUAUUGACCAUUUGACCUCAAAUCAGGUAGGACUACCCGCUGAACUUAAGCAUAUCAAUAAGCGGAGGA
rnacentral:rRNA from 1 species